CCGGCUUCCACAUCGAGCCUCAGCUAGAUCCAUAACUUGCUGGCAAGAUGUUGGCAGUCGCAU
rnacentral:pre_miRNA from 1 species